CCUUCGAUAGCUCAGUUGGUAGAGCGGUGGACUGUAGUUGGUUACCUGAAGCAGACAUCCAUAGGUCACUGGUUCGAAUCCGGUUCGAAGGA